CCUACGGGAGGCAGCAGUGAGGAAUAUUGGUCAAUGGGCGCGAGCCUGAACCAGCCAAGUAGCGUGAAGGAUGACUGCCCUACGGGUUGUAAACUUCUUUUAUAAAGGAAUAAAGUGAGGCACGUGUGCCUUUUUGUAUGUACCUUAUGAAUAAGGAUCGGCUAACUCCGUGCCAGCAGCCGCGGUAAUACGGAGGAUUCGAGCGUUAUCCGGAUUUAUUGGGUUUAAAGGGAGCGUAGAUGGGUUGUUAAGUUAGUUGUGAAAGUUUGGGGCUCAAACGUGGAAUUGCAUUUGAUACUGGCGGGCUUGAGUUCAGUUGAGGUAGGCGGAAUGCGUGGUGUAGCGGUGAAAUGCAUAGAGAUCACGCAGAACUCCGAUUGCGAAGGCAGCUUACUAAACUGCCACUGACGUUGAUGCACGAAAGUGUGGGUAUCAAACAGGAUUAGAUACCCUUGUAGUC
rnacentral:rRNA from 1 species